UGGAACGACAUGAGGGCGAGUAAUUGUUUUUUGGGUGAACUAUCCCUUUAAAUGUGUGAUUAUUUGGUUGGAUUGGACCUGUUAAAGAGAUCCAGAAAGCUGCUAAUCCAACAGGCGAAGAGAGCAGCUCGAACGUAACACUGCCAUUACGGCCCCAAGCAAGGCACUUAACCUGACUCAAAAGGGCGAUCGUUAGUUAGUUAAUUUGAAAAUGUCAAAAUAAAAGAUAACUACCUUUAUUUUCUUUUUCUCUAGUUUCAGCUAGUGCUCAGCCCUGUAAUGCCACAUUCGAGACAUCCUGCACCAUGAAACAUUCACUGUACAUUGUCUGCACUAAUGAAAAAGACAAUGAAGGGGAACAGAAUGCGUGUAUAUAUAUAUAUAUAUAUAUAUAUAUAUAUAUAUAUAUAUGUAUAUAAAUGUAUCUGUAGUUAUUAUAAUGCACUGUACUGUAGUGUCAUCGGUAAAUGAUAUUUUACCAGUGUCAUCCAUUUGAAGCAUCUAAAAGCCAUUUCACCGUCUAAAACAUCCAUUUCGUCUAUAGAAUCUUUCAACAUGUUUAACUACAUAGCACCAUCUUUCUUAAAGAAAUAGUCAACCCCAAAAUGACCCUUAUGUCGUUCAAAACCUGUAUGACUGACUUUCUUCACACAAGAUAUUUUUGCAGAUUGUUGAUCAUCCGUUUCAGUUUCCAUUGACUUCCAUUGAUUGUUUGUUUUUUUGCCUAUUUUAUGAAAAUCAAUAGGAACCGAAACGGUUUAGUUAUCAACGUUUACAAUAAAUAACGAAAGAACUGUCAUUUUUUGGUGGACUAUCCCUUUAAUGCUUCACACACAAACUACGAGUUGUAUCUGUAAAAAAAAAAAAAAGUCAGGUUAACAGAAAGGUCAGGAAAGGUCUUGCCAGCUUUAGCGUAGUAAAAUAAAGUACCCAGAGACACAGCUACUCAACUGAAGGGGAGAAAAUGCUAUUUUGUUCUUUCGUAACUGCUCUGCGUCAAUGCACCGACAAGUGUUUGCUUUCCUGUGGCAUGCAAGGGCACAUGAAGAAGAAUAUCAAUUCAUAUUAUGCGAGUGUAUUAAGGCUUCAUAUCUGCACGCUGCCAGGGCAUCUGAUAGGACAAUCGUUACUCUGCCCUGCUCAAUCGCACCGGACAACCGAGAAAACACAGAGAGCAGAUAACCUGGAUUCCUGUGAUGUUUUGCACACUGGAACUGGAAAAACAUAAUCGAUCUGUAAGGAAUAAAAAUUAAAAUAUAUGUCCUGAUUAGUGAUAUACUUAUAUAUAUCGGCCAGGCCAUUAAUUUUUAACCCAUUGGUACUGACUGACAGCCUUGUCAAAAAUAAAGAUUGCUUAUAUGCUUCAAACUCAAUAUUCUGGGUAAAUAUUGUGUAAAAUAAGGGAAAUCCGCACUCAUUUGCUUACUUAUCACCAUCAGUACUGGCCAUCAUAAAACCCAUAUUGUAGUCCUAAAAAUGAAUAUUUAUUUCUAUCAUGAAACCUGGGCUGUUAUUGUGUAGUGCGUUACGUGCAUACUGAGAACACAAACCAUGUCAUUACCGAUGUCUCUGAAAAGUCUGUAUAAGGAUUAUGAGACUCAUGUAGUGCUACUGUGAGGCCAAAAUGUGAGUUUGUAAUAAAAAAAGAAAGAAAAUAUUCACGUCCAGUGCAUAAUAAGGUAUUCAGGCUAUCAUUUUAGCUCGCUGUGCAUAUAAGGAAGAAAAGAGAACGAAACCUUAUCAUCCGUUUAUAAUAAACCAACUGAACUCAAAGAACAGGAGCGUAAUUCGAAAAUCAGCACCAUCAGAUUCAUACUGCUACGCCUCGGGCUCGGGUUGGGGGGGGUUAGUGUUGGUUUUGAGAGGAAAGGCCAGGUAGCAGACCAGAAAGUUUCAUACCCUGUUUUUCUAGUGUUCUCCGAGGUUCCGUGCAUAUUAGAAGGCAUUUGUAGUUUUAAACAGGAAGACAUGAACAUCCCCACAAAAGCUCCAGAAGAGUGCAGAACUUUUUUUCAAUGGUUUUUUGUCAUCAAUGGUUUGUUU